rfam:Punica granatum cultivar Dabenzi scaffold123, whole genome shotgun sequence.
CUGUGAGGGGAAUGAUGUACUACUAUCGGGCCUUGAAUAUGCUGGCAUUUCUUGAUUCUGCGUCUGAAAUGGACAUCAGGG